UACGUAGGGUGCGAGCGUUGUCCGGAAUUAUUGGGCGUAAAGAGCUCGUAGGCGGCUUGUCGCGUCGGAUGUGAAAGCCCGGGGCUUAACUCCGGGUCUGCAUUCGAUACGGGCAGGCUAGAGUUCGGUAGGGGGAGAUCGGAAUUCCUGGUGUAGCGGUGAAAUGACGCAGAUAUCAGGAGGAACACCGGUGGCGAAGGCGGAUCUCUGGGCCGAUACUGACGCUGAGGAGCGAAAAGCGUGGGGGAGCAAACAGG
rnacentral:rRNA from 1 species